AACGAACGCUGGCGGCGUGCUUAACACAUGCAAGUCGAACGGAAAGGCCCUGCUUUUGUGGGGUGCUCGAGUGGCGAACGGGUGCGUAACACGUGAGUAACCUGCCCUUGACUUUGGGAUAACUUCAGGAAACUGGGGCUAAUCCCGGAUAGCAGCUCCUGCUGCGUGGUGGGGGUUGGAUAGUUUCGGCGGUUGGGGAUGGACUCGCGGCUUAUCAGCUUGUUGGUGGGGUAGUGGCUUACCAAGGCUUUGACGGGUAGCCGGCCUGAGAGGGUGACCGGCGACAUGGGGACUGAGAUACGGACCAGACGGCUACGGGAGGCAGCAGUGGGGAAUAUUGCACAGUGGGAGGAAGCCUGAGGCAGCAACGCCGCGUGCGGGAUGACGGCCUUCGGGUUGUAAACCGCUUUAGCCUGUGACGAAGCGGGAGUGACGGUAAUGGGUAAAGAAGCACCGGCUAACUACGUG
rnacentral:rRNA from 1 species